rnacentral:rRNA from 1 species
UGCAGUCGAGCGCACCUUCGGGUGAGCGGCGGACGGGUGAGUAACGCGUGGGAAUAUGCCCUUCUCUACGGAAUAGCCUCGGGAAACUGAGAGUAAUACCGUAUACGCCCUUCGGGGGAAAGAUUUAUCGGAGAAGGAUUAGCCCGCGUUGGAUUAGGUAGUUGGUGAGGUAACGGCUCACCAAGCCGACGAUCCAUAGCUGGUUUGAGAGGAUGAUCAGCCACACUGGGACUGAGACACGGCCCAGACUCCUACGGGAGGCAGCAGUGGGGAAUCUUAGACAAUGGGGGAAACCCUGAUCUAGCCAUGCCGCGUGAGUGACGAAGGCCCUAGGGUCGUAAAGCUCUUUCAGCUGUGAAGAUAAUGACGGUAGCAGCAGAAGAAACCCCGGCUAACUCCGUGCCAGCAGCCGCGGUAAUACGGAGGGGGUUAGCGUUGUUCGGAAUUACUGGGCGUAAAGCGCGCGUAGGCGGAUUAGUAAGUUAGAGGUGAAAUCCCGGGGCUCAACCCCGGAACUGCCUUUAAUACUGCUAGUCUUGAGUUCGAGAGAGGUGAGUGGAAUUCCGAGUGUAGAGGUGAAAUUCGUAGAUAUUCGGAGGAACACCAGUGGCGAAGGCGGCUCACUGGCUCGAUACUGACGCUGAGGUGCGAAAGUGUGGGGAGCAAACAGGAUUAGAUACCCUGGUAGUCCACACCGUAAACGAUGAAUGCCAGACGUCGGGCAGUAUACUGUUC